UUGCUCAGGGACUAGCUUUGGAGAAGGCCUAGAGCUUCAGGGUGGAGAAAAAUCUAGGGAUCAGGCAGACAGGCCAGGAGGGAGUGGAGGUUCCCUCGGGAUGAACAUCUUGCAUCUCCUGAGGGCUUUAUCCAAGCUGUCUGCAUGUGGAAGGAAAGGUGCUUGGGUAUGCAGCCUGUCUCCUGGCCCAGGGAAGCAGAGCCCUUAUGGACUCCAUCAAGGGCUUGGGGUGACAGUGGGAGAUGAUGCUCCCAGAGCAGACAGGAGAAAUUUUCAAGACACUACCAGCUCACCAAUUUCCAAGAGCUCAGAAGC
rnacentral:lncRNA from 1 species